rnacentral:SRP_RNA from 1 species
GUCGAGCUGGGUAUCACUAGCUUGUAACCCAAGUGGGGGCAUCAAGGUGAUGGAACAUGGCUAUGGUUGUGUUUGGCUUGGAUGGUGGUUGCACCAUGUUGGCGUGCCCACUCCAAGUUGAGAGUUGAGGCAUGGUGCUUGGGCUAAGGCUCUGGUUUCAUGACUCAUAGACAAGAGGGCAAAGCGUGAGGCUAGUUUCACAGAGCAGCGAACACCUCUGGCUCCUAACAGUGGAAGGAUCACAUGCUACUGCACUUUCAUCCCGCUAGCCAAGCUACUUGAACCAUCACUUUUU